rnacentral:rRNA from 1 species
GGGGGAUAUUGCACAAUGGAGGAAACUCUGAUGCAGCGACGCCGCGUGUAGGAAGACGGUCCUAUGGAUUGUAAACUACUGUCUUCGGGGACGAAAAUGACGGUACCCGAGGAGGAAGCCACGGCUAACUACGUGCCAGCAGCCGCGGUAAUACGUAGGUGGCAAGCGUUGUCCGGAAUUACUGGGUGUAAAGGGAGCGUAGGCGAGCAGGCAAGUCAGGCGUUAAAUCCAUCGGCUCAACCGGUGGCUGCGCUUGAAACUGCAGGUCUUGAGUGAAGUAGAGGUUGGCGGAAUUCCUAGUGUAGCGGUGAAAUGCGUAGAUAUUAGGAGGAACACCAGUGGCGAAGGCGGCCAACUGGGCUUUUACUGACGCUGAGGCUCGAAAGUAUGGGGAGCAAAC